rnacentral:rRNA from 1 species
CGUAGGGUGCGAGCGUUAAUCGGAAUUACUGGGCGUAAAGCGUGCGCAGGCGGUUAUAUAAGACAGUUGUGAAAUCCCCGGGCUCAACCUGGGAAUUGCAUCUGUGACUGUAUAGCUAGAGUACGGUAGAGGGGGAUGGAAUUCCGCGUGUAGCAGUGAAAUGCGUAGAUAUGCGGAGGAACACCGAUGGCGAAGGCAAUCCCCUGGACCUGUACUGACGCUCAUGCACGAAAGCGUGGGGAGCAAACAGGA